AAAACCAAGUCUCUAAGCAAUGGAUGUCUUGGCUCCUCACACGAUGAAGAACGUGGCAUAAUGUGUUAAGUAACCGGAGUUGCAAACAUCAUGACAGGUUAAUCUUUGAAUGCAAAUUGCGCUAAACUCGAUCUCGGUCGAGAAGCAUGGGUGUGACAGUACUACAUCUUUUAUAAUAAUUCUUAUUCUAAGCGAAUAAGUAAAUAAUAUAUAAGACAAACAACACGUAGUCUGCCAUACGCAGGAAGACCCGCUGAACUGAAGCAUCUCAUUAAGCGGAGGAAAAGAAACUAACUAGGAUUCCCUUAGUAAAGGCGAUCGAAAAGGGAACAGCCCAACGUCUUAAUCCCGCAAGGGAAAUGUAGUCGGUUCACCUAUUGCACUGGUCUAA
rnacentral:ncRNA from 1 species